CCAAAAAAAAAAAAAAAAGUACUUUGAGAAUCUCCGUUUCAUGUCUUCCUAUGUUGUAAAAACCCCGCUUUACAACAUAGAAAGACAUGAAGCUGAGAUUCUCAAUAAGUGAUAUUGUACCGAAAGAGCGAGAGAAGGAUGAGGGGAAAGCAUACCAGUUGCGUAGGGGGGGGCGGAGGAUGAGGCGCCGGGGCCGCGACGGCGACCGAGGGCGAGGGCGAGACCGAUGAGGGGCGGUAGGUGGUGCCGUCGGGCUCGACAAUCCAUCCGGCCUCACGGGCGAGGGCGGCGAGGACGUCGUUCAUGUCGGCGCGGGCGGGGAGGAGGAAGUUGCCAUACUGGCGGAGGCCGGCGAGCAUGCGGCUGGUGAUCGCCCGCCGGUGCCGCUCCCGGAGCUUCGUCCGCUCCUUCUCCUUCUCCCGCUCCUUCCGCCCCUUCCCCGAACCCCCCGCGGCUGCCGCCGCCGCCGCCGCCGCCGCGAACCCCCGUGGGCGGCGCUGGGGCGGGGGCUGGGCGUACUGAUCGGAGCUGUGGUCGCUGUGCUGCUGCUGCUCCACGUCCUGCUUCACGUUCAUCGCUCGGCGCUCGCCUCAAGUCCAAGCCCUCCUCUUUCCCCAAUCUCAAGUCCAAGUCCUCCUCUUUCCCCUCUCCACCAUCUCUCCGUUCUUAUUACCGAUGGAGAGGGUUUUUUGGAUCAGAAGAGGGGAGCCCUUUUUAUAAUUCUUUAUUUCCUUUCCAUAUUUGUGUGGGAUGGCAUUUUGUCGUUCUGACCAGAGCUGCGGGUAAUGAGAGGGUGAAAGUAAUGAGAAUGGUGUGAUUAAACCGACUUUGCCACUUGGCCUGAGAGUAAUUGGCCAGCUUGGGGAUGACCAGCAGCAAGGGGAUGAAUCAUCGAUGUAAGUCAUGUAUGAGAGGGAUUUUGUUGGAUGGUUCAUGUGCUUUGGAUUUUUUUUUCCUUUUUUUAAUGAAAUAGACCAAAGCCCAGAUUUAUUAAGAAAAGAAAGAAACCAACUCUAGGAUAAAAAAAAACAAAACAAAAACAAAAGUAUCAUUGAACGUAGCAGCAAUUACAGUAUUUCAAGCUUAGUAGAAAACUUGUUUCUGCUCCUCCAUCUCUGUGGAGUAUUUUGUCUCUUAACUUAGAAGGCAGUGCUCAUGCGAGACCAGUAUGAGCUGCUGAUGUAAAAAAAAAAAAAAAAAUACUUGUUACAAAUUCAAAAUUAAAAAUCUUGUACAGUGGGGUGUUUAUAAUAGAGUUAGAGCUCUGGCUCAAACCCGACUCAAUUUUAGAUAUCGAAUGAAGUUUUAUUUUGUCUGCGAUUUAUUUUUCGACACAAUCUAAGCUCAGCCAUGUUCGGAAAUUUUUAGACCAAAUUCGGCUUUCCGGCUAUGGUGGUUCUAAACAGCAUUGGAUCCUAAAAUAAUCUAUAGUUAGCGUAGGGACCUAUAAAUCAUUUUAUGUUAUCCCCUCCUACUACUUCUUUUCCUCGUAUUCAAUGCAACCAAUGUUAACCACAAAUAUAGAAUUGCCUCAAAGGCCUACAUAUUCUCCACUACCACUACCUAGAAAAUAGAUAUGAGUAGAUUGAUUCCAAACCUUUGAACAGGUGAACAAAGAUAAUGGAACACGGUUCUCAGAACCUUCGAUUGGUUUCCAAUCAGCCUAGCUAUUAUGGUCUUAAUCUUUCCUCCUAGGAUGUUUAUUAUUAUCAUAUCCUAAAGGCAAUGACUUUGCUGAUGAUCAUAUUAAACAACUUAAGCUUUUUUUUGGCCCACUUGAUGUUCGGAUGUGCUUUCUCUCAAAAGAAAUAAUGGAUGAGAUUCUUAACCAUUAAAUAUUUUUCUUGCUCCACAUCCAUUGAAUGCAUUGGAUCCAAUCAAAACUCUGUAGUUAAGUGUGCUUGGAUGAGAGUAGUAGUAAGAUGGCGGCCUUCUGUAAAGUCCUUGUGUUAGCACCCCUUUUAACUUUUAUCUUGCUCUAUAUCAUAUAUUUCUUUGAACUUUUCGUCGUGCUUUUGGUGUUUCCUUGAACUCAUCUCUUGGUAGAUUCUUGGUUUUUCGCACAUUUUCAUGACAAAGGGCAUCUACUUUAGCUCCUAUAAUGAUUGAAAGUCUACAUGCGGAUGAUAUAAGGACUUCAGGAGAAUUUUGAAGGAACUAAUUGCUCGAAUCUUCAAGAGUAAGUCUUAGACGAUCAUGGUGGUUUUCAUUGAAAUCAAGAGAGAUGUUCUUUUGGGCUUUAGGCAUUAAGGAUUGACUUGGGACAAAAUUGGGUGAAAAUUCAGGGUAUAGAAGAUUCUACAUUAAAAAAAAAAACAUGUCAUGAAUCUCCGAUCUAAGCUUGUGAAUCUCUUUUGAAGCUUGGCCUAUAACUUUAACUUUUAUUGCAGCUUCUUUAGUCAGCUUCUUGCUGCCAAGUGCUGGCUUUGAUAGGUGGUUUCAUGCCUAGCUCCAAGGUUUUUUCAUUGGUUCACAUUACUUUGAUUCUAAAAGAGCAAUGCCAUAUAAACUGCUAAAGGGUCUAUAUUUUCAAAUGUUGUGUUUGGUAAACUCCACUAAAGGAAUGUAACAACUUGGAAAAAUGGUGGAUUGGGACAUAUCAUGUGAGAGGCCAUAGUGUGUGAAACAUUCUUGCUCACACUUGAGUAACCUGUUCGGAAUUCAUGGAUCUUAAACUGAGCCUCUUGAAGAAGUAACCUAUCUAAAUCUGCAAAAAAUAAACAACAGUGCCUUCACAUUAUGCUAAUUUAAACAAGGUAUUCAUCUAAAAUUCCAAAAUAUACUCAUGUUCAUUUGCUCUUCUUCUUCUUCUUUCUCCACAGUAUAAAUUUCAGGCUCAAAUACUUGAGGAUGUACCAUGAAGGACUCGAACUUAGAAUCUUCAAUUGCUAUGCAAAGCAAUGUGACUAUUGGGCAAGCCUCCAUUCACAUUUAUAGUUUCGAUUUUAACACAAAGCAAAAUUUGGCUUUGGUUGUGUGUGGACUGUGCGGAUGUGUUUAAUUCAACAUCAGCUAUACACUAGAUAGAUUUUGGUUAUUUAUGCAGGAUCAAGAAAUACAAAUAAUACCUUCUAGCUAAAUUUUAUAACCGAGCUAAAAAUUAUUUAGCUUUUAAAUGGUUUUAUCUAGAAGACAAAUGCUUUAUUAGGAGUUUCAAAAUUCAAUGGUUGGUCUAAUGCAAUUGUCAUUUUCUCAGGUAGAAAUUAUGACUAUGUUAUACAUGUUGACAUGCCUUGCUAAAACUUUUGCUUGUCCUACCUUUCAAUUAGGGUGCAAAUGAGCCGAACUAAGUAUCAGGCUCCACAAGCUUGGCUUGUUAAUGUUUGAGCUUGGCUUGAGCUCAAGCUGCAAUUGACUUAAGUUAGAUUGCCGAGCUUUUAUCAAGCUGAGCUAAGCUUCCUUGUAUCUUUGUACCCAUUUGAGCUCUUAAAGGUUGUUUGAGCUUGCUUAUUUUCAAAUAACCUAGCUGAGCCUCAACGAGUUGUCGACGAGCCAAUUCUGGAAUAACAUAAAAAUCAAGUAGGGUCGAGGUCAACAUGCCCUAGCUUUUAUGUUAAGGAAUAGUUUAUGACAACUUUCCUUUGGUGUAGUUAUACCUCUCGCAACUAAGUUUGACCAGCAUAAUUAGUAUUCCUUAGUUAUGUCUCCUGCUCAAGUUAUGGCAAGCAUAAGGCUUAAGCCUUAUGCCUACUUUACGCAUGAACCAAAUGUCACCACAAACAAAUAUCCAUAUUUCUUAUCAUAUGCAUUUUGUGCGCCAAAUACUAGUAACAAAUAUUAAAAAGGUCGUGAAGAAAGACGCCACCUUGAGGUUUGGAAGCUAGCCCACCUUCAAGUUAUAAACAAUAUUUCUUUUUUAUGUAAUUAUUUGUCUUUUUUUUAACUUGUUAUUAGAGUGAAAUAGAAGAGAGACUUUCUUAGAUAAGGACAAGGCUGGAAGGGAUUGCUGGAUCUCCUAGCGAGGAUUAUUUUAUUAUACUAAGCGACAAUCCAAUGUGUGGCCCAAAGAGAAACAACCAGGAAUAUGUACAUAGGCAAGCCACUCUAGGCUUAAGUUCAUGUUUUUAUGUAAAACUAAAAAAUUUAAAAAUAUUUUUUGACUAAUCAUUUUAAAUAAGAUCUUGAAUCAUAAUAAAUAGUAUUAAAAUAAAUUUAGCCAUACAAUACGUGUCCAUGGAGGCUCACCGCAGAAUGCAGAAUUAUUAUGGUGCUCGUGAUUACAUUUAAAUAAAUUUAAAUUUUUAGCUUAAAACAAAAUUUAGGAAAUUAAAAAAUUUAAAAAAUAUCUGCCAGCCAGCUUUUUUUUUAUAGAUGGAAUCUCCUAUUGUAACAGCAAUAUGUAAAAAAUAUAAUUUAUAAUAUAUUUUAUAAAAAAAAUGAACAAGCACGCAUGCAUGCUGAAAGAAUUUUCUUUUUCAAAAGUAUUAAUUAAGAUUUCCGCUAUUAAUGUUGUUGAUGGUGACAUGGUCCGAAGAUAAAUAAACCUUCAGCCGAUCAUAAAUUCAUCAUCUCGAAUGACCUAAGAUGCCGACACGUGGUACCGCACUGAUCGUCCUCCGUCCAUCACCCUGCCCCUCCCCUCUAUAUGGAGGGCCGCUCUCGCCCCCCCAAAAUCGCCCCUCCUUCCCCCAAUUCCAACUGCGCGAGCGAGCGAGCGAGCAAGCGAGAGAGUAAUAGGGACGAUGGCAUCGGCCGGUGGAAUCAGGGGCUUCUACCGGGAGAAGAAGAAGGGCGGAGUGACCAAGCCCUCCCCCAAGCCGUAUUCCACUGCCGAUCCGGCCUGCUCUCCUGUCCUCAAGUCCGCCCAUGUCCAAGGUAAGCAGUACACUCCCUCCUCGCGAUCCCAUUCAGUUUCCAUCCAACGAGUUAGCGUUUGAUUCGUUCAUGCUGUUGGCGGCGGUGGUGAUUGGGAUUGGCGGAAAAGCAGGGCAAGAGAAGGAGGCGGAGGAGAGGCUGCGGGAGUUCGACAUGGACAUGACCUACGGGCCCUGCCUGGGCCUCACUCGGAUGGAGCGCUGGAACCGGGCGGCCGUCAUGGGACUGAACCCCUCGCCCGACGUGGAGGCCAUCCUCCUCAAGUGCUCCUCCUCCGCCGCCCUCGAGUGCCUCUGGGAGGGCCGCGUCUGAACCAGUGAAUCGAUAGGUUGCUGUCUAUGUAGAUGGUGAAAGAAGAAGGAGCUGCUCCUUUUAUGUUUGUUUUUUUGCGUCGGAGAGAAAGGUGCAUCCUUUCGUAUCCAGUAUCCACUUUUAGCUUCCUGUAGUGUGGCUGGGCUUAGAUGAAAGUCUUGACUUCCGGAACAGAAACUUCAUUUCUGUACUACAACUAUCUUUGCAUUACUUGAAUCCAUCUCUCUUGUUGCUGAAAUGCUGAGAAAUCUGGGAACCUAUGAGCGCGUCAUCUGGAUGCAUCUUUUCUCUUUCCGUCACCGGGGAAAGAAUUGCUUCCGAUCCCUCCAAAUUUGUUCAAAUUAGGAACCUUAGGGCCUCGUUAAAAUGGAGUUGACAUCUGCUCCUAUUUUGAUUCAUUCAAAUUGAAAAAUUUCAGGCGCUGAUCCAAAAUGGUGAACCGGCAUUGCUCUGAAGCCGCCUAUAUGUAGAAGCCUGAGAAGCAUUCAGCGGAUUCUCGUGUUUUUUUUUGUCUAAACCCAAUGAUGUCACAAAGCAAAGAUGAAGGAUUCCGGAACAAGUAAACACUAUUUUCAAUUGUCUCAACAAUUGAAUCAGAAUGAGAAAUAAAAAUAGAUUCGAGAUGAGACAAACAAAAGAGGUUAGAGACCUCAAUAAAUGUCUAAGGGUUUCCCUUCGAACUCUGUCAGAAUUACCCAACUUGAGUUAUGAGUACGAAUGAGAUUUCUUUUUUCUGUAAGGAAGAAUAAAN
rnacentral:lncRNA from 1 species